GCACCUGUAGCUCAGCUGGAUAGAGUACCUGGCUACGAACCAGGCGGUCGGAGGUUCGAAUCCUUCCAGGUGCGCCA
rnacentral:tRNA from 1 species